rnacentral:rRNA from 1 species
CCUGGCUCCCGUUGAGGCUGGCGGCGCGCCUAACACAUGCAAGUCGAACGAUCGAGAGAGAGCUUGCUUUCUCGAGCGAGUGGCGAACGGGUGAGUAACGCGUGAGGAACCUGCCUCAAAGAGGGGGACAACAGUUGGAAACGACUGCUAAUACCGCAUAAGCCCACGGGUCGGCAUCGACCAGAGGGAAAAGGAGCAAUCCGCUUUGAGAUGGCCUCGCGUCCGAUUAGCUAGUUGGUGAGGUAACGGCCCACCAAGGCGACGAUCGGUAGCCGGACUGAGAGGUUGAACGGCCACAUUGGGACUGAGACACGGCCCAGACUCCUACGGGAGGCAGCAGUGGGGAAUAUUGCACAAUGGGGGAAACCCUGAUGUAGCGACGCCGCGUGGAGGAAGAAGGUCUUCGGAUUGUAAACUCCUGUUGUUGAGGAAGAUAAUGACGGUACUCAACAAGGAAGUGACGGCUAACUACGUGCCAGCAGCCGCGGUAAAACGUAGGUCACAAGCGUUGUCCGGAAUUACUGGGUGUAAAGGGAGCGCAGGCGGGAAGACAAGUUGGAAGUGAAAUCCAUGGGCUCAACCCAUGAACUGCUUUCAAAACUGUUUUUCUUGAGUAGUGCAGAGGUAGGCGGAAUUCCCGGUGUAGCGGUGGAAUGCGUAGAUAUCGGGAGGAACACCAGUGGCGAAGGCGGCCUACUGGGCACCAACUGACGCUGAGGCUCGAAAGUGUGGGUAGCAAACAGGAUUAGAUACCCUGGUAGUCCACACUGUAAACGAUGAUUACUAGGUGUUGGAGGAUUGACCCCUUCAGUGCCGCAGUUAACACAAUAAGUAAUCCACCUGGGGAGUACGACCGCAAGGUUGAAACUCAAAGGAAUUGACGGGGGCCCGCACAAGCAGUGGAGUAUGUGGUUUAAUUCGACGCAACGCGAAGAACCUUACCAAGUCUUGACAUCCCUUGACGAUGCUGGAAACAGUAUUUCUCUUCGGAGCAAGGAGACAGGUGGUGCAUGGUUGUCGUCAGCUCGUGUCGUGAGAUGUUGGGUUAAGUCCCGCAACGAGCGCAACCCUUAUGGUCAGUUACUACGCAAGAGGACUCUGGCCAGACUGCCGUUGACAAAACGGAGGAAGGUGGGGAUGACGUCAAAUCAUCAUGCCCUUUAUGACUUGGGCUACACACGUACUACAAUGGCGUUAAACAAAGAGAAGCAAGACCGCGAGGUGGAGCAAAACUCAGAAACAACGUCCCAGUUCGGACUGCAGGCUGCAACUCGCCUGCACGAAGUCGGAAUUGCUAGUAAUCGUGGAUCAGCAUGCCACGGUGAAUACGUUCCCGGGCCUUGUACACACCGCCCG